rnacentral:rRNA from 1 species
AUUUUGACUGUGCGAAGGUAGCAUAAUAGAUUGUCUUUUAAAUGGAGGCUUGAAUGAAUGGUUGGACAAAGUAUCAUCUGUUUCUUAAAUAACUAUUGAAUUUGACUUUUAAGUGAAAAGGCUUAAAUAAAUUAAAAAGACGAUAAGACCCUAUAAAUUUUUAUAAAAAAUAUAAUUUUAGUUUGAAUUUAUAAGUUUAUAAAAUAUAAAUUAUAAUUUUAUUGUGCUGGGGUGGUGUAUGUAUAUUGUAAAACUGUUUAUAAAAUAAAAUCAAUAAUAUUUGAUUAAUAAAAUUGAUCCUUUAAUAGAUUAAAAGAUUAAAAUACUUUAGGGAUAACAGCGUUAUUUUUUCUAAGAGUUCUUAUUGAAGAAAAAGUUUGCGACCUCGAUGUUGAAUUAAAGUUUCUUUGUGGUGUAGCAGCUAUGUAAGAGAGUCUGUUCGACUUUUAAUACUUUACAUGA